rnacentral:rRNA from 1 species
AUGGACGGGGGAAGCCACACGCACGCCCGCACCAGAGACCGGGCGGCGGAGGCCGCACCCGACGGGGAGGCCGGACGGCGGAGGUCGCACGCACCUGAGGCCGGACAGCGACGACGGAGGCUGCACGCACCCGACAGGGAGGCCGGAUGGGGACGGCGGGAGGCCGCACGCGUCAGACGGGGAGGCCAGAAGGCGACGGCGCAAGGAGGCGGCACGCACCGGACGGGGAGGCUGGAAGGCGACGGCGCGCGGAGGUCGCACGCACCCGACGACGACGGCGGAGGUCGAUUUGGAUUAUCCGCUGGAUUGGAUCAAACUGUGAAUUCUCAUGUUGAGACAAUGAUGUUGACUGAUGCACCUCUUCUAUAUACUCCUGGACAGGUUAACCAACUUCAUCUACCUGGUAUGAAAGAAAUGAGGCAUGCUAAUCGCAAGUUGAAGCAUUGUUUGGAUCCAAGCUCUCACGAUGAGCACAAGAAGUACCCCCUCUUUUGCAGUAUUGAUAAAAACCAAUUUUACUACGGUGUCAUCAUCAUCACUCGAAGAAAACCACCCAGUCUGAUUAUUUCCAUGUUACUCUGUUAG